CAUCUUGCACGCUAUCCUAUCCCGUUGCCAUCCUUAGGCCUCUCCACCAUGUGAGAUUUCUCAAAAAAGAAAAAGUUCACCAUAUAUUUCUUCUCCAAAUAUUGCUUGGAAAUCAGGUUCGGGUAAGCCUAUAAAUUUAUGGCUUGACAGAUGGAUCCAAAAAUUCCUUUUCCUUAGAAAUCUCAUUGCGGGUAUCCUCACAAGGAAAGAAUAUAAUCUUAAUCUUGUUGACCUUUGGGAAGAUAAUCAUUGAAACUGGCACAAGCUCUCCUUUGAUAUUCCAACCUCCAUUAUUACCAACAUCGAAACUAUAAACCUUAACUCCCCCAUUAACAUCCUUGACACCUCUUUUUCGGCAGCCACCUGUAAUGGGCUCUUCUCCCCUAAAUCAAUUCUUUAAUGUGUGAAAGAAAGAGUUGGACUACCUAUAAUUGUGCUUGGAUUUGGAGUCUUAACAAUAUAAAUAAAUUUAUAUUACUGUUAUGGCUUUGCUCCCACAACAGAUUUUUUACCAUGCAGUUUCUUUAUCGGUUAUACAUCACUGAUAAUUCG
rnacentral:lncRNA from 1 species